AUUGAACGCUGGCGGCAGGCUUAAUACAUGCAAGUCGAGCGGAGAUGAGGUGCUUGCACCUUAUCUUAGCGGCGGACGGGUGAGUUAUGCUUAGGAAUCUGCCUACUAGAGGGCGACAACAUUCCGAAAGGAAUGCUAAUACCGCAUACGUCCGACGGGAGAAAGCAGGGGAUCUUCGGACCUUGCGCUAAUAGAUGACCCGAAGUCGGAUUAGCUAGUUGGUGGGGUAAAGGCCUACCAAGGCGACGAUCUGUAGCGGGUCUGAGAGGAUGAUCCGCCACACUGGGACUGAGACACGGCCCAGACUCCUACGGGAGGCAGCAGUGGGGAAUAUUGGACAAUGGGGGGAACCCUGAUCCAGCCAUGCCGCGUGUGUGAAGAAGGCCUUAUGGUUGUAAAGCACUUUAAGCGAGGAGGAGGCUACUGAGACUAAUACUCUUGGAUAGUGGACGUUACUCGCAGAAUAAGCACCGGCUAACUCUGUGCCAGCCGCCGCAGUAAAAC
rnacentral:rRNA from 1 species